GAUGAACGCUGGCGGCGUGCCUAAUACAUGCAAGUCGAGCGAACAGACGAGGAGCUUGCUCCUCUGACGUUAGCGGCGGACGGGUGAGUAACACGUGGAUAACCUACCUAUAAGACUAGGAUAACUUCGGGAAACCGGAGCUAAUACCGGAUAAUAUAUUGAACCGCAUGGUUCAAUAGUGAAAGACGGUUUUGCUGUCACUUAUAGAUGGAUCCGCGCCGCAUUAGCUAGUUGGUAAGGUAACGGCUUACCAAGGCAACGAUGCGUAGCCGACCUGAGAGGGUGAUCGGCCACACUGGAACUGAGACACGGUCCAGACUCUUACGGGAGGCAGCAGUAGGGAAUCUUCCGCAAUGGGCGAAAGCCUGACGGAGCAACGCCGCGUGAGUGAUGAAGGUCUUCGGAUCGUAAAACUCUGUUAUUAGGGAAGAACAAAUGUGUAAGUAACUAUGCACGUCUUGACGGUACCUAAUCAGAAAGCCACGGCUAACUACGUG
rnacentral:rRNA from 1 species